GCGCCGGAUAGUCCGAGACUUGUUUUAACCGGGAGGAUCGGCAUCCAAGCAGGCUGUGGGUGUCUCCCGGGGGCCUCUCCUUGGCAACGGCCACAGCUCUCUGGGAUGUGAACAGAGGCGCUUUCCCACGUUCACGUCAUCUCGGAAGAUGCCCAAGCCCUGGAGAGUCUUAAAACAAGCCUUUCUCCCGGCUGAACCAGAUGGAUUUUUUUUCUUACAGGUACAGCAUGACUAACAAAAAAGAGAUUCCCAACCUCUCAGGAGCAGAUCUGGAACCAAUGCAAGAAUUGCAGAGUUUCUUUAGCCUGGAUUUUUCUGCUUCGAGUUGAGCUUGAAGGCGACUGUUUUCUUGCCUCAGGAGACUAUUUUGUGAUUCAGUGGAAGAAAGUUGGAUCUUGUGGGAAAGAAGUUCUUCUGUAGCAGCCCGUUCUC